rnacentral:misc_RNA from 1 species
AAAGUCGUAACAAGGUUUCCGUAGGUGAACCUGCGGAAGGAUCAUUACAAAUCGUUAGUUGGGGGGUGUAGGGUUAAUAAUCCUCACUAAUCCAACACAUUUGCGCUUGUGUUGUUUGACAGAGUUACAUCCUUAUAAUAGAGACAACUUUUAACAAUGGAUCUCUUGGCUCUU